rnacentral:rRNA from 1 species
UACGUAGGGUGCAAGCGUUAAUCGGAAUUACUGGGCGUAAAGCGUGCGCAGGCGGUUGGUUAAGUCAGAUGUGAAAUCCCCGGGCUCAACCUGGGAACUGCAUUUGUGACUGCAAGGCUAGAGUACGGCAGAGGGGGAUGGAAUUCCGCGUGUAGCAGUGAAAUGCGUAGAUAUGCGGAGGAACACCAAUGGCGAAGGCAAUCCCCUGGGCCUGUACUGACGCUCAUGCACGAAAGCGUGGGGAGCAAACAGG